UUUGACUAAAAAUUGCCAAAAAAUCUCCGGUCAUUUUUGAUAAGGCCAAAAAAAAAAUAUGUGGGUUUCCGGUUUCUUCUUAUAAAAACUUAGGUAGGGUAGGUCGGUUUUAACUUUUUUUUUUAAACUUUUUUUUUUAAUUUUCCGAACAACCGGACGCCAUUUUGUUUAGUCAGUGCUUCCACAUCCAAAGAUAAAUUUCCCUAAUAUUGCCUCAAAUUUCAAUUUUCCACAAAGUUUUUCCUCUAAGCGGAAACACUUAGGCCUUUCCCGAUUGCGCUGGGCACUUUUUGAGCACUUUUUUUUGUUUGGAGCACCAUUUUGCAUGUUGAGCAACGUUGAGCACUUUUUCGCACUUUGGGCAAC